UACGGAGGGUGCAAGCGUUAUCCGGAUUCACUGGGUUUAAAGGGUGCGUAGGCGGGCAGGUAAGUCCGUGGUGAAAUCUCUGAGCUUAACUCAGAAACUGCCAUUGAUACUAUUCGUCUUGAAUAUCCUGGAGGUGAGCGGAAUAUGUCAUGUAGCGGUGAAAUGCUUAGAUAUGACAUAGAACACCAAUUGCGAAGGCAGCUUACUACGGAUUGAUUGACACUGAGGCACGAAAGCGUGGGGAUCAAACAGG
rnacentral:rRNA from 1 species